rnacentral:rRNA from 1 species
UUUUUGAGAGUUUGAUCCUGGCUCAGAACGAACGCUGGCGGCGCGCCUAAUACAUGCAAGUCGAGCGAGAAGACGUAGCAAUACGUUUGUAAAGCGGCGAACGGGUGAGGAAUACAUGGGUAACCUACCCUCGAGUGGGGAAUAA